rnacentral:rRNA from 1 species
CCUACGGGAGGCAGCAGUAGGGAAUUUUCGGCAAUGGGGGGAACCCUGACCGAGCAACGCCGCGUGAAGGAAGAAGGAAUUCGUUCUGUAAACUUCUGUUAUAAAGGAAGAAAGACGGAUGGAGGAAAUGACAUCCGAGUGACGGUACUUUAUGAGAAAGCCACGGCUAACUACGUGCCAGCAGCCGCGGAAAUAGGUGGGUGGCAAGCGUUAUCGGGAAUUAUUGGGCGUAAGGAGGGAGCAGGGGGUAGCAAAGGUCUGUGGUGAAGGACUGAAGCUUAACGUCAGUAAUCCAUAGAAACCGGGCAGCUAGAGUGCAGGAGAGGUUCGUGGAAUUCCAGGUGUAGCGGUGAAAUGCGUAGAUAUAAGGAGGAACACCAGUGGCGAAGGCGACGAACUGGCCUGCAACUGACGCUGAGUCCCGAAAGCGUGGGGAGCAAAUAGGAUUAGAUACCCUAGUAGUC